CUUCACAGAGCUGACUGAAGAGUCCAGAUGGAGCUCUUCACAGAUGGUGGCAUAUGAGGAAUUUAGAAGUCAGGAAACACCCAGAUUUUCAAGGAAAAGACUCUUCCAGACGUCUCUGGAAUGCAAUUACACAAGAUUCUAGGGCACCCACCAUACACAUUCUUCCUUGUUCCAAGGGUACUGUUUCCUCAACCAUACUUCUUCUUGCUCAGGAAAGAUCUUCAAAAAGGAGACUACAGUUUCUUCAGUCCUCAGCCAUGAGCUUGGCUCCUGUCCCCAUGCUUGUGUUUAUGAUACUUUUUGCCCCGAGAGGAACCGGAGCCCAGUCAGUGACCCAGCCUGAUGUCCACAUCACUGUCUCUGAAGGAGCCCCUCUGGAGCUGAGGUGCAACUACUCAUCUUCUGUUCAGGUGUAUCUCUUCUGGUACGUGCAGCACCCCAACCAAGGACUCCGGCUUCUCUUGAAGUACAUAUCAGGGGACAUCCUGGUGAAAGGCACCAAAGGUUUCGAGGCUGAAUUUAGGAAGAGUGAAAAGGCCUUCCACCUGAGGAAACCCGCAGUCCAGUGGAGCGACACGGCCAAGUACUUCCGUGCUGUGAGUGACACAGUGCCUGGGACUGCAGGGGGAGCUGAACACCAACUUCUGGUGAAUGUGAGGCUUCCAGUGACUCAAGGGAUCAACCUGGGGCACUUUCAGUGAGACCUUAUGUUCUAUGGUGACAAGAUGGACAGAGGGGACUAAACUGCUUAGUUCUUGUGCAGACAUGGUUCUAAUCUUCCAAGAGUCAGGAUUCAUGAGGAAAGGACAACUUAUGAAAAAAACAAACAAACACAAUGUCGCCAACAGACUGGAGACUGGAACUUGCUCAGAGAAUCACUUUCGAUGGGAGAGUGGCAGGGAUGGGUUUUGUGCUGCGAUUGCCAUUUGACUUGUGACCAGAGAGGAGAGUACUAUGACAGUCUACGCUGAUGGUUGUAAUCCACUAGGGACACUCUAAGCUUCCCCCUAACUGAGGAACUUUCCUUAAGAUCCUAGAUAAUUCCAUCUGUGUGUGUGCCUAUUUGAAAAACUGAAUGGAAAGAGGAAGGUUAAUAUUAGAGGAAGCGACUGAGGAAAAUGUGAUAAAAUAAAAUCACCAAGCACAGGGAGAAUUUUUAGUGAAUGCUUCUGUCAUUUAC